ACCCGUUCCCAUUCCGAACACGCAGGUUAAGCUUCAAAGCGCCGAUGGUACUGCAUUGGAGACGAUGUGGAAGAGUAGGUCGCUGCCAGGU
rnacentral:rRNA from 1 species